GGUGGGGUGGCAGAGCGGUUGAAUGCGCCAGACUUGAAAUCUGGUUGUGGCAACAGUCACACGGGGGUUCGAAUCCCCCCCCCACCG
rnacentral:tRNA from 1 species